rnacentral:rRNA from 1 species
CGGCGCCGUGAAUACGUUCCCGGGCCUUGUACACACCGCCCGUCACAUCAUGGAAGUCGCUUGUAGCCGAAGCCGGCGCGCUAACCCGCAAGGGAGGCAGCCUUCUACGCUAUGAGCGGUAACUGGGAUGAAGUCGUAACAAGGUAGCCGUAGGGGAACCUGCGGCUGGAUCACCUCCUUUCUAAGG